ACCGAGUCUGCGCUGACCAGCGAUCACCCCGUACACAAACACUAUCCUGCACACACUAGUCACAAUUUACAACUCUAACACAGCCAAUUAACCUAC